AUCUCUCUUCUCCAGUCUGCGCUGCGGAUAUCAUGAUCAAUGAUGGAUCUAGUCCAGAGUAUUUAUCUCUAGCUCCAUUAAUUCACCCAAAUCAAGCCUAAUCAAUUUAAUUAGUUCAACUUUUUGUUAAUUGUUGGUUUGAUCUGACUUAGAGAUUUUUAAAUUGAUUCAGAGGACUCGCAGAUCCGAAGAUUUAAUCAUGACCAAAUCUAUCAUCUAUAGGUAACAUUGAUCCCCACCUAAAUAUCUAGAUCCUAGGGGUGCUCGAGACCCCC
rnacentral:lncRNA from 1 species